UACGUAGGGGGCGAACGUUAUCCGGAAUGAUUGGGCGUAAAGGGUACGUAGGCGGCACUUUAAGUCAGGUGUGAAAGGCAUGGGCUCAACCCAUGUAAGCACUUGAAACUGGAGUGCUUGAGGGAAGGAGAGGAAAGUGGAAUUCCUAGUGUAGCGGUGAAAUGCGUAGAUAUUAGGAGGAAUACCGGUGGCGAAGGCGACUUUCUGGACUUUUUCUGACGCUGAGGUACGAAAGCGUGGGGAGCAAACAGG
rnacentral:rRNA from 1 species